rnacentral:rRNA from 1 species
CCUUCCGACGUACCGCAGCAGGCGGGAAACUUUACAAGCGGCAAGCCUGAUAAGGGGACGCCGAUGCCAGCCCAAUACGGCGGUCUCGGGUUAAAAAAGCACGUGCUGUAU